rnacentral:sRNA from 1 species
GCUGGGUGUGGUGGCACAUGCCUGUAAUCCCAGUGGCUCAGGAGACUGAGGCAGGAGGAUCAUAAGUUCAGCCUCAGCAACUUAGUGUGGCCUUAAGCAACACAGCGAGAUCCUGUCUCUA